rnacentral:snRNA from 1 species
GUAUGUGAGAACAAUCUGGCUACAAAAUCCAUCACCCCAUUGAUAGCCAGGGUUGACUUAGUUAAUCUGGCAGUCUAGGCAUGUGUCCCCUUCCUCCCUUACCACUCCAUAUUUGUCCCCACUGAAGCUGCAUACUGGGGGGAAAAGGAUGAACUUCCCAAAUAGAAGAGGACAGGUCUUACAUCAAGAGCACAUGAGUAGCUAUAUUUGUCUCCUACAGCCUACAAAUAAGCUCUCAAGGUCUAAAUCAUAACAAAAUCCUGUAAUUUUCAGUUGAAUUAUUU